rnacentral:rRNA from 1 species
UACGAAGGGGUCUAGCGUUGCUCGGAAUCACUGGGCGUAAAGGGUGCGUAGGCGGGUUUUUAAGUCAGAGGUGAAAUCCUGGAGCUCAACUCCAGAACUGCCUUUGAUACUGAAAGUCUUGAGUAUGGGAGAGGUGAGUGGAACUGCGAGUGUAGAGGUGAAAUUCGUAGAUAUUCGCAAGAACACCAGUGGCGAAGGCGGCUCACUGGCCCAUAACUGACGCUGAGGCACGAAAGCGUGGGGAGCAAACAGG